ensembl:misc_RNA Y_RNA Y RNA
GGCUGGUCCAAAGGUAGUGAGUUAUCUCACUUGAUUGUUCACAGUCAGUUACAGAUUGAACUGUUCUACUCUUUCCCCCUUUCCCACUACUGUACUUGACUAGUCUUAA